rnacentral:rRNA from 1 species
GAUGAACGCUAGCUACAGGCUUAACACAUGCAAGUCGCGGGACCGGCGCACGGGUGAGUAACGCGUAUCCAACCUGCCCUUCACCACGGGAUAACCCGGCGAAAGUCGGACUUAUACCGUAUGGUGACGGAUGGGGAUGCGUCCGAUUAGCUUGACGGCGGGGGCACGGCCCACCGUGGCUACGAUCGGUAGGGGUUCUGAGAGGAAGGUCCCCCACACUGGAACUGAGACACGGUCCAGACUCCUACGGGAUGCAGCAGUGAGGAAUAUUGGUCAAUGGGCGUAAGCCUGAACCAGCCAAGUAGCGUGCAGGACGACGGCCUAUGGGUUGUAAAGCACUUUCAGCGGGGAGCGUUACCCGCAGAAGAAGCACCGGCUAACUCCGUGCCAGCAGCCGCGGUAAUUC